ACUCUCACACACUAACGUAAACCGGAUAGCUCUUUCAUCUCAUUCUUUCGUGUACAGCUGGCAAGAAGCGCACGCAGUCGCUUCUCUCGCCAUCCGCUACCCUGGCCCACGAGUCCAGAGUGCUACUAACUCCAGCUAACGGCUCGAACAGCCCAACCAGUUUUCCUCCAUCCGUCUUAUGUGUGGUCGAGAGCCCCCACGCAUUGAUGCGUCGCGAAUAUCUCUUAUCCCAACAACACUCCGUUCUCUACCCGCGUGCGUGCGUUUUCAUUUGUGCUGUAAGAAGGAGAAGAACAAAAGAAAUCAACGAGUGUAUGUGUGUAGAGGUAGCGUGUUUGUAUGCGCGCGGAAUCAAUCAAUAAACAUUUUGUUUAGUGUGGAAAGUAGAGCUUCUCGUGCGCGCUUGUGUGUGUGUGCGUGAGAGAGAGAGAGAGAGAGAGAGAGAGAGAGAGAGAGAGAGAGAGUGUGUCUGUGUCUGUGUGUAGUGGCCGUGUUUUCGAGUUUUGGGG